UUUAACUGAAGAGUUUGAUCAUGGCUCAGAUUGAACGCUGGCGGCAGGCUUAACACAUGCAAGUCGAGCGGGCGAGGUUGCUUCGGUAACUUAGCUAGCGGCGGACGGGUGAGUAAUGCUUAGGAAUCUGCCUAUUAGUGGGGGACAACAUUCCGAAAGGGAUGCUAAUACCGCAUACGUCCUACGGGAGAAAGCAGGGGAUCUUUAUGACCUUGCGCU
rnacentral:rRNA from 1 species